rnacentral:piRNA from 1 species
UGAGUUUCUGCAACAGAGAUGUUGCCAUGUC